rnacentral:rRNA from 1 species
AUUGAACGCUGGCGGCAUGCCUUACACAUGCAAGUCGAACGGCAGCACGGGUGCUUGCACCUGGUGGCGAGUGGCGAACGGGUGAGUAAUACAUCGGAACAUGUCCUGUAGUGGGGGAUAGCCCGGCGAAAGCCGGAUUAAUACCGCAUACGAUCCACGGAUGAAAGCGGGGGACCUUCGGGCCUCGCGCUAUAGGGUUGGCCGAUGGCUGAUUAGUUAGUUGGUGGGGUAAAGGCAUACCAAGGCGACGAUCAGUAGCUGGUCUGAGAGGACGACCAGCCACACUGGGACUGAGACACGGCCCAGACUCCUACGGUAGGCAGCAGUGGGGAAUUUUGGACAAGGGGCGAAAGCCUGAUCCAGCAAUGCCGCGUGUGUGAAGAAGGCCUUCGGGUUGUAAAGCACUUUUGUCCGGAAAGAAAUCCUUGACUCUAAUACAGUCGGGGGAUGACGGUACCGGAAGAAUAAGCACCGGCUAACUACGUG